rnacentral:rRNA from 1 species
UACGGAGGAUGCAAGCGUUGUCCGGAAUUAUUGGGCGUAAAGCGUCCGUAGGUGGUUGAGCAAGUCUGUUGUCAAAGCGUGCCGCUUAACGGCAUAACGGCGAUGGAAACUGCUGAGCUAGAGGCCGGUAGGGGUCAGGGGAAUUCCCAGUGUAGCGGUGAAAUGCGUAGAUAUUGGGAAGAACACCAGCGGCGAAAGCGCCUGACUGGGCCGGAACUGACACUGAUGGACGAAAGCUAGGGGAGCGAAAGGG